rnacentral:rRNA from 1 species
CCUACGGGCGGCUGCAGUGAGGAAUAUUGGUCAAUGGACGAGAGUCUGAACCAGCCAAGUAGCGUGAAGGAUGACUGCCCUAUGGGUUGUAAACUUCUUUUAUAAAGGACUAACACGAGGCACGUGUGCCUUUUUGCAUGUACUUUAUGAAUAAGGAUCGGCUAACUCCGUGCCAGCAGCCGCGGUAAUACGGAGGAUCCGAGCGUUAUCCGGAUUUAUUGGGUUUAAAGGGAGCGUAGAUGGGUUGUUAAGUCAGUUGUGAAAGUUUGCGGCUCAACCGUAAAAUUGCAAUUGAUACUGGCAGUCGUGAGUACAGUUGAGGUAGGCGGAAUUCGUGGUGUAGCGGUGAAAUGCUUAGAUAUCACGAAGAACCCCGAUUGCGAAGGCAGCUUACUAAACUGUGACUGACAUUGAUGCUCGAAAGUGUGGGUAUCAAACAGGAUUAGAUACCCCAGUAGUC